CCUGAUCCAGCAAUGCCGCGUGUGUGAAGAAGGCCUUCGGGUUGUAAAGCACUUUUGUCCGGAAAGAAAUCCUUGGGUCUAAUACAGCCGGGGGAUGACGGUACCGGAAGAAUAAGCACCGGCUAACUACGUGCCAGCAGCCGCGGUAAUACGUAGGGUGCGAGCGUUAAUCGGAAUUACUGGGCGUAAAGCGUGCGCAGGCGGUUUGCUAAGACCGAUGUGAAAUCCCCGGGCUUAACCUGGGAACUGCAUUGGUGACUGGCAGGCUAGAGUAUGGCAGAAGGGGGUAGAAUUCCACGUGUAGCAGUGAAAUGCGUAGAGAUGUGGAGGAAUACCGAUGGCGAAGGCAGCCCCCUGGGCCAAUACUGACGCUCAUGCACGAAAGCGUGGGGAGCAAACAGGAUUAAAUACCCUGGUAGUCCACGCCCUAAACGAUGUCAACUAGUUGUUGGGGAUUCAUUUCCUUAGUAACGUAGCUUACGCGUGAAGUUGACCGCCUGGGGAGUACGGUCGCAAGAUUAAAACUCAAAGGAAUUGACGGGGACCCGCACAAGCGGUGGAUGAUGUGGAUUAAUUCGAUGCAACGCGAAAAACCUUACCUACCCUUGACAUGGUCGGAAUCCUGCUGA
rnacentral:rRNA from 1 species